rnacentral:rRNA from 1 species
AACGAACGCUGGCGGCAUGCCUAACACAUGCAAGUCGAACGAGACCUUCGGGUCUAGUGGCGCACGGGUGCGUAACGCGUGGGAACCUGCCCUUAGGUUGGAAUAACUCCCCGAAAGGGGUGCUAAUACCGGAUAAUGUCUUCGGACCAAAGAUUUAUCGCCUUUGGAUGGGCCCGCGUUGGAUUAGCUAGUUGGUAGGGUAAAAGCCUACCAAGGCGACGAUCCAUAGCUGGUCUGAGAGGAUGAUCAGCCACACUGGGACUGAGACACGGCCCAGACUCCUACGGGAGGCAGCAGUGGGGAAUAUUGGACAAUGGGCGAAAGCCUGAUCCAGCAAUGCCGCGUGAGUGAUGAAGGCCUUAGGGUUGUAAAGCUCUUUUACCCGGGAUGAUAAUGACAGUACCGGGAGAAUAAGCGCCGGCUAACUCCGUG